UCAAGCUACUAAGGGCAUGCGUGGGGAUGCCUUGGCGCUAGAAGGCGAUGAAGGACGCGGCCAGCGGCGAUACGCCUCGGGGAGAUGCAAGCAAUCUGUGAUCCGGGGAUUUCCGAAUGGAGGAAUCCACCUGGUGUGAACACCGGGUAUCCUAUCGUGAAUUCAUAGCGGUAGGAGGCGAACGGGGGGAAGUGAACCAUCUCAGUACCCCUAGGAAGAGAAAACAACCGUGAUUCCGAUAGUAGCGGCGAGCGAACUCGGAAGAGCCUAAACCAGGUGAUUCGAAAGGAGAGCCUGGGGUUGCAGGACCACAAAUCAUGAAUGGCGGCAUCGGCAGCCCGAGGGAAACCAGAGGCGGCUGGUGAAAUCAUUCGUGAUAAAGAGGGAAUCAAAGCGAUAAUUGAAGGGUCUGGAACGGCCUGCCAUAGAGGGUGAUAGCCCCGUAGGUGAAAUUGCAAUGAUCCUUUGAGUGGCUCCUAAGUACAGCGGGACACGAGAAACCCUGCUGGAAUCCGCCGGGACCAUCCGGCAAGGCUAAAUACUCUCUAGCGACCGAUAGUGAACAAGUACCGUGAGGGAAAGGUGAAAAGCACCCCUGCGAGGGGAGUGAAAUAGUACCUGAAACCGCAUGCCUACAAGCAGUGGGAGGGCUAUGGCCGCAAGGCAAUGCCUGACCUCGUGCCUAUUGAAUAAUGAGCUGGCUAGUUAAUCUCAGUGGCAAGGUUAAGCGUAAGCGAGCCGAAGCGAAAGCGAGUCUGAACAGGGCGUUCAGUCGCUGGGAUUAGACGCGAAGCGGGAUGAUCUAUCCUUGGCCAGGAUGAAGUCCGUGUAACAGCGGAUGGAGGUCCGAACCAGUGUUGGUUGAAAACAGCUUGGAUGAGCUGAGGAUAGGGGUGAAAGGCUAAUCAAAUUCCGUGAUAGCUCGUUCUCUCCGAAAUAGCUUUAGGGCUAGCCUCGCGUGGUCCGCCGCGGUGGUAGAGAUCUGGAUGAACUAGGGGCCUUCCCAGGUUACCGAAUUCAACCAAACUGCGAAUACCGUGGACGUGCAGCGCGGGAGUCAGACGGCGGGGGCUAAGCUUCGUCGUCAAAAGGGGAAGAGCCCAGACCGUCAGCUAAGGUCCCCAAAUUCACACUAAGUGGGAAAGGAAGUCGAGUGCCUCAGACAGCCAGGAGGUUGGCUUAGAAGCAGCCAUCCUUUAAAGAAAGCGUAAUAGCUCACUGGUCGAGGAACUCGGUGCCGACAAUAUAACGGGGCUAAAGUGUGAUACCGAAGCUGCGGAUUCCGAAAGGAAUGGUAGGAGAGCAUUCUUACAGCAUCGAAGGCGGAUCGUAAGGACCGCUGGAGCGGUAGGAAGGGACUCUGCCAGCAUAAGUAGCGAUAAACCAGGUGAGAACCCUGGUCGCCGUAAGUCUAAGGUUUCCUGAAAAAGGUUAAUCCGUUCAGGGUUAGUCAGGGCCUAAGGUGAGGCCGAAAGGCGUAGCCGAUGGACACACGGUUAAUAUUCCGUGACUACCUAUAACGAUCAAGUCCGAUGGGGGGACGCAGACCGUAAGCUCUGGGGAGGGUUGGAGUCGAACCAGAGUGAAGGGAGGUUGGGAGAGGCAAAUCCGCCCAAUCGUCUGCCUGGAAAAGCCUCUAGGGAAGUAUGGGUACCUGUACCACAAACAGACACAUGUGGACGAGAUGAGUAUUCUCAGGCGCUCGGGUGAUGGGUUGUUCAGGAACUAGGCAAAUUAGCCCCGUAACUUCGGGAGAAGGGGUACCUCAGCGAUGAGGUCGCAGUAAAGCGCGUCAGGCGACUGUUUAACAAAAACACAGGUCUCUGCAAAGUCAACAAAACGACGUAUAGGGGCUGACGCCUGCCCGGUGCCGGAAGGUUAAAAGGAGGGGUUAGCCGCAAGGCGAAGCUCUGAAUUGAAGCCCCGGUGAACGGCGGCCGUAACUAUAACGGUCCUAAGGUAGCGAAAUUCCUUGUCGGGUAAGUUCCGACCUGCACGAAUGGCGUAACGAUCUGACGACUGUCUUAACAACCUGCCCGGCGAAUUUGUGGUUCCGGUGAAGACGCCGGAUGCCCGCCACAAGACGGAAAGACCCCGUGCACCUUUACUACACCCUAUCAAUGAAUUAUGGGUCCAUCUGCGCAGGAUAGGUGGGAGGCUUUGAGACCGGCAUUUUGGUGUCGGUGGAGCCAACGGUGAGAUACCACCCUGAUGGUUCUGUGAUUCUAACCUACUGCCCUUAUCGGGUUGAGGGACAUUGAUAGGCGGGUAGUUUGACUGGGGCGGUCGCCUCCUAAACUGUAACGGAGGCGCACGAAGCUUGGUUCAGGAGGUUUGGAAAUCCUCCUUCGAGUGCAAUGGCAUAAACCAGGUUAACUGCGAGACCAACAAGUCAAGCAGAUGCGAAAGCAGGUCAUAGUGAUCCGGUGGUUCUGUAUGGAAGGGCCAUCGCUCAACGGAUAAAAGGUACGCCGGGGAUAACAGGCUGAUCGGAGCCAAGAGUUCACAUCGACGCUCCGGUUUGGCACCUCGAUGUCGGUUCAUCGCAUCCUGGGGGUGUAGAAGCUCCCAAGGGUUAGGCUGUUCGCCUAUUAAAGCGGUACGUGAACUGGGUUCAGAACGUCGCGAGACAGUUCGGUCCCUAUCUGUGGUGGGCGUAGGAGAUUUGAGUGGGGCUGGCCGUAGUACGAGAGGACCCGGCUGGACGAACCUCUUGUGAUCCUGUUGUCAUACCAGUGGCACCGCAGGGUAGCGAAGUUCGGUAGGGAUAAGCGCUGAAUGCAUAUAAGUGCGAAGCCCUCCACAAGAUGAGAUCUCCCAAGCGAAAGCUAACAAGGGCCGUGGAAGACUACCACGUUGAUAGGCCGGAUGUGGAAGUGCAGUAAUGUAUGAAGCUUACCGGUACUAAUAGCCCGUUCGGCUUGACCA
rnacentral:rRNA from 1 species